AAAUUGUCAUAAUUGUGACCUUAAUUGCCUACCGUCUGUAAGCUGUUAGUUUCUUAACGAUCGUUCCACAGGUGCAUGUCCAUUAAUUGUUUAUGGUUAAUUGAACAAGAAUGGGAAACGGUGUUUAAACCCUUUACAAUGAAGAUCUGUAUAGUUAUUUGGACUUUUAAGAAUUAUCUUUGAAAGACAGGGUCCUGAAAAAGGGACGUUUCUUUUUUUGCUGAGUUUAUAACGUGAGCUGUUAAGUAUGUGUUGACAGUCCUUUCUAUCGUGCCGUUUUUGAAAGAUUGAACAUUUGCUGCUUUUCUUAACAACAUUGAUGCCCUGAAUUUAGCAGGCGCUAUCGACAGAUCAGAUGGAAAAAGUGAUGGGCUACAUUCUGCAUAAGCCACGGUCAGUGUGAACCGGUCUGUGUGAACUGGAGUGACUUGACACAAUGCUGGCCAGAAACAAAACAGAGUUAAAUGGUUCUAGUCUGCCAUGUAUGCGGAAAAUGCAAUCACCGGCCUGGAUCUCUUGGAAGUCAGCGAUUCAAUGAUAAGUGAGUUAGGAUAUGAGGCGGGCGGGUCGUGAUGAUCUAUCUAAUACCGACUGGGACUCAUUCCAGCAUGACGAUGCAAGAGGACGAUGGUUGAACUUGCUUACCAAUAAGCACAUAAUUUUUUUAUUUAUUAAGUAUUUCAGUGUGGAGUCUAUGUUGAGGUGAGGGGACUGUUUCAUGAAGCCAUUAGAAGACUGUUGCUGACCUCUUUUGAAUGCAGUCUGGCAGUAACCUAACGAUCAGAGGCAAAGCAUCUCUUUCCCUGCUGCUGACAACUGGAUGAACCAGUCAGGCAACAAACCAUACUGUACUGUUCCAUAAAGAAGUCAGCCUUAGUUGGUAUCAAGAUUGACGUGGGCCAUCAUUCAAACAAUGAGAUGCCUCCCCAGCCACCAGUGCAUAUUUCCAAAAUAUUUUUGCAUAUAAUGACAAUAAAAUCUGUCCUUCAUUUAAUUGUUUAUUAUAUUAUAUUCUUAGCUAAAAAUAUUACUAUUUAUUAGUGGUAACCAUAAUGUAACCAUAUGUCACGUAUACGCCGGGAGUCAGGAAGCAGGUGCAGAAGGUGAGUUUGAUAAUGAAGAAUGCAGAUAAAUAAAAUAUGAGAAGCGUACAGACCGUAAAUGAAAACAAACCAAUACUGCCUGAUGACUGAGGCUACUGAGGGCUAAAGGGAAGGUAAUCAAGGGGAAGGUAAUCAAGGUGAUGAUGAGGUCCAGGUGUGCGUAAUGACGAUUGCCAGGGGUGGUGGUUAGUAGACCGGCAACAUCGAGCAGGAGUAGGCGUGACAGUACCAGGAGUAGCAGGUUCCUGGUGGAGAGCCAGACGGAACACGGGAGCCUUACUGCGGUGGGUUCACCUGCUCCUUCUGGCGGUGGACGGCACGCUGGAUCCUCACGUGGGCAGCGUUCCAAACCUCCUCUGUGCACCGAAACCACUUGUCCACUGCAGGGGCCUCGGUCUGGCCACGGGGCCAAGGCCAGCUGAUGCCCCAGGACGCAAUGGAAAGAAGUCAGCCCAGUGGAGGAGUGACGAAGUGAGUUCUGGGCGUACUCCGCUUUCACAAGGCAAUUCAGAGAAACAGAUAGUAAUUUUGGUGCGCAUAGAAAGGAGUCGUGUGUGUGCCGCGGCGACUUUUCACAAUAAACAAACCGGCUCAUUAUGUUCAGAACCACCCAGGGUAUGAUGCCUUGUCCUCUUGUAACUGUACAUUGUCCCCCCCCCCCCACUCACUCAGUCCGGCUUUAAACAUACUCUUGGAAGUUGUAAUAGUAGAAUACACAAGGUGCAAUUUCGAAAUAGGGUAGUGCAUCAUCAGUUCCUCUUGUCAUGUUAGUCAUUGCAUGCCUUAGAGAGCUAUUUAUAACUUGUCAGAAAUGUCCAGAUCAACUAACCCAUGUCCAGCUGAUGUAUUUUUUUUAUUUUUUUAUCCCAUUUAUAUUGUUGUAAUUUGAGUCACUCAAAUAUUACAUUAAUACACAUUAGACAUGGCAAAAUUUAUAGAAUUUCAAGAAAAUUAGAUUUAAAACUGCAACAUUUUCUUUGAAACCCAUGACAAAAUUUGAAGAAUUCCAGGACAUAAGUUUUAAAACUGCAAAAUUCUCUCCACCAACCAGGACACUACAUUACAGUAGAGUAGAGGGGCGGCAGGUAGCCUAGCAGUGAGAGCGUUGGGCCAGUAACCGAAAGGUCACUGAUUCGAAUACCCGAGCCGACAAGGUGAUAAAUCUGUCAAUGUGCCCUUGAGCAAGGCAUUUAACCCUACUCUACUUCUGGGCUCUGUAGUAUCGAGAUUGGAAUGUGACUGUUGAACACAGAGAGACACUUGGACAUCAAAAGGUUGAAUAAUUGAACAGUAUUUCUGUAUUCCAAGCAGUUGGAGUGGUCCAUGGAAACAAAAUGUAACGGCCGUCGUAGGAAGUGGACCAAAAUGCAGCGGGUACGUGAAUACUCAUAUUUACUUUAUU